rnacentral:rRNA from 1 species
UACGAAGGGUGCGAGCGUUGUCCGGAUUUAUUGGGUUUAAAGGGUGCGUAGGCGGCGCGUUAAGUCCGGGGUGAAAGCCCGUUGCUCAACAACGGAACUGCCCCGGAAACUGGCGCGCUUGAGUCCAGACGAGGUUGGCGGAAUGGAAGCUGUAGCGGUGAAAUGCAUAGAUAGCUUCCAGAACCCCGAUUGCGAAGGCAGCUGACUAGGCUGGUACUGACGCUGAGGCACGAAAGCGUGGGGAGCGAACAGG